UACGAAGGGGGCUAGCGUUGUUCGGAAUUACUGGGCGUAAAGCGCGCGCAGGCGGUUCUCCAAGUCAGUGGUGAAAGCCCGGAGCUCAACUCCGGAACUGCCAUUGAAACUGUUGAAUUUGAGGACGAGAGAGGUGAGUGGAAUUCCCAGUGUAGAGGUGAAAUUCGUAGAUAUUGGGAAGAACACCAGUGGCGAAGGCGGCUCACUGGCUCGUAUCUGACGCUCAGGCGCGAUAGCGUGGGGAUCAAACAGG
rnacentral:rRNA from 1 species